rnacentral:rRNA from 1 species
GACGAACGCUGGCGGCAUGCCUAAUACAUGCAAGUCGAGCGGACUUGAUGGAGAAGCUUGCUUCUUCUGAAGGUUAGCGGCGGACGGGUGAGUAACACGUAGGCAACCUGCCUUUCAGUUUGGGAUAACUUCCGGAAACGGAUGCUAAUACCGAAUACAUCAUCUUCUGGCAUCAGAGGAUGAGGAAAGACGGCGCAAGCUGUCACUGAGAGAUGGGCCUGCGGCGCAUUAGCUAGUUGGUGGGGUAAGGGCUCACCAAGGCGACGAUGCGUAGCCGACCUGAGAGGGUGAACGGCCACACUGGGACUGAGACACGGCCCAGACUCCUACGGGAGGCAGCAGUAGGGAAUCCUCCACAAUGGGCGAAAGCCUGAUGGAGCAAUGCCGCGUGAGUGAUGAAGGUUUUCGGAUCGUAAAGCUCUGUUGCCAGGGAAGAACGUCCAGGUGAGUAACUGCACCUGGAGUGACGGUACCUGAGAAGAAAGCCCCGGCUAACUACGUGCCAGCAGCCGCAGUAA